UGAUGAAGCAUUCUUACCAGAAGAGUAGCUAUGAUGCAAAAUGUAUCGAGGCCAACACUUGUACUGAAAGCAGUUACGAAAAAUAUAUCUAAUUUAGUACCUCAUUCCUAAUUUGCAUUACAAGUUGCUUUUUUUUUUUUUUUCUUUUUCUUUUUUUCAGUGAGUAAUUUUAUUUGUGAAAGCAAGUAUUUCUUUGUUUAUCGUGGUACAGCGCAAGUUCCUUCAAACAAGUGUUCUGCUUGUUUCUACUGAUGCUCUUGGUCCCCAUACAGAACAGAUCUAUCUUGGCCCUGGAAACAGACUUUGUGGGCUUUUCACAAGUACUAGAAGAAGCUGGCUCUAAUAUUUGAGAAAUGAUCCCCUCUACAGAUUCAACCCAAUCUUCAUAGAGAUAUUCCUGUAAUUGAAGGCUCUGAAAAGUUCCUGUCUCUCUGGAUAGACUGAGAACAACUCUGUCCACUUGUCCUUCUUUGCUCUCUCUUCCUCCUUCAGCCUAUAGGAUCUGGAAGCAGGGCUUGGAGAACCAGCCAACAUAUGCAUGCAAAAUGCUCAGAAAUUCUCUACCCAUUGCUAAGGAAUACUUCUGUACUUUGGAACUGACCAUGUGGAGACAAAAGCUGUGA
rnacentral:lncRNA from 1 species